rnacentral:siRNA from 1 species
AUCAGAAUCGCCGGAGCUGAGAC